AGCUAAAUGAAUCAGCUAAAUGAAUCUCUGGGAUCUUCAUAAUCGUGAAGGUUGGGCUCCAUCUUGCUAGAGAAUAAUUGCGGCAACUGUAUGAACAUAUUGCAUCACGACUCAAUGGGUCUGCCAUUAGCCCUUAUCACCUGGCUCUUCUUAGUUAUGAAGUUUGGGUUCCAUCUUUCCCGAAGAAAUUGACCAUCGUAAGUGUGCUUUGAGGACAAGAAGAUUGCUUCUCUCAUGUCAUUCCCUAACAGAAGAGACCUAGGAGAAUGUCAACUGCCAAUCCUGAAAGCCACUGGAAAGGUCCACAAGCCUCAUCGUGGCCACGGUAUGGACGCAUUGCCUCGCGACUCAGUGGGUGCCGUUGCCCUUAUCGCCGGCCGCUCCUUAGUUGUGAAGGUCGGGUCCCGUCUUGCUCAAGGAAAUGGAGGACAGGGAGAGCGUGCUUCGAGGACAAGAAGAUUGCUUCUCUCCCGGGGUUUCGCCACGGAAGAGACCUUGGAGGACAUGAGCUGCCCGUUCUGCGAGCCACUGGAAAGGUCCACAAG